rnacentral:rRNA from 1 species
GUGGGGAAUAUUCCGCAAUGGACGAAAGUCUGACGGAGCAACGCCGCGUGAGUGAUGAAGGUUUUCGGACUGUAAAGCUCUGUUGUUUAGGACGAAAGUGCCUGUUGCAAACAGUUACAGGUAUUGACGGUACUAAACGAGGAAGCCACGGCUAACUACGUGCCAGCAGCCGCGGUAAUACGUAGGUGGCAAGCGUUGCCCGGAAUUAUUGGGCGUAAAGAGCAUGUAGGCGGGAAUCUAAGUCUGUUGUGAAAAUGCGGGGCUCAACCCCGUAUUGCGAUGGAAACUGGGUUUCUUGAGUGCAGGAGAGGAAAGGGGAAUUCCCAGUGUAGCGGUGAAAUGCGUAGAUAUUGGGAGGAACACCAGUGGCGAAGGCGCCUUUCUGGACUGUGUCUGACGCUGAGAUGCGAAAGCCAGGGUAGCGAACGGGAUUAGAAACCCCAGUAGUCC